AUGAAAUCUAUAGUUGGAUAUGAUCAUUGGGAACUCGCACACAUGAUGAUCAUUUUUAUUGGCAUCUAUAGUAAUUUUAAUUGCACACAUAGUUGUUUUCAAUUGGAUCCAAUCAUUAGGAACUUGCACACAUGGUUAUCAUUUUUGUUGGCAUCUAUAGUAGUUCUAAUUGCACACAUAAUCAUUCUCAGAUGGAUAUAUACGAUCAUUGGGAAGUUGGACACACGACGAUCAUUUUUAUUGGCAUCUAUAGUAGUUCUAGUGAUUACACAAAUAAUUGUUCCCAGUUGGAUAUGGUCAUUCGGAAGUUACACACACAGCGAUCACUUUUUGUUGGCAUCUAUAGUAGUUGUUGUUGCACACAUAGUUGUUCUCAACGAUACGAUCAUUGGGAAGUUACACAUAUAUCGAUCUUUUUUUGUGGGCUUCUAUAUUAGCUCUAGUUGCACAUAUAGUCAUUCUCACACUACUAGAAUCUGGUUUUGUCCCGAGUUCCGAUACUUCACCGAGUUCAUUUUACCGGAAACUCGACAAACUUCUCUCUGUCAAGUUUAA
rnacentral:rRNA from 1 species